GACAAGGCUCAGUCAGUAAAGCAUGAGACUCUUAAUCUCAGGGCUGUGGGUUCGAGCUCCAUAUUGGGCAAACA